rnacentral:rRNA from 1 species
UGCGUAGGCGGCCUUGUCCGUCAGAGGUGAAAUCUACCGGCUCACCCGGUCAGACUGCCUCUGAAACUACAAGGCUUGAGUCCGUGAGGGGAUGGUGGAAUUCCUGGUGUAACGGUGAAAUGUGCAGAUAUCAGGAAGAACACCGGUGGCGAAGGCGGCCAUCUGGCACGGUACUGACGCUGAGGCACGAAAGCUAGGGUAUCGAACG